rnacentral:rRNA from 1 species
UACGUAGGGUGCGAGCGUUAAUCGGAAUUACUGGGCGUAAAGCGUGCGCAGGCGGUUUUGUAAGCCAGAUGUGAAAUCCCCGGGCUCAACCUGGGAACUGCAUUUGUGACUGCAUGGCUAGAGUACGGUAGAGGGGGAUGGAAUUCCGCGUGUAGCAGGUGAAAUGCGUAGAGUAUGCGGGAGGAACACCGAUGGCGAAGGCAAUCCCCUGGACCUGUACUGACGCUCAUGCACGAAAGCGUGGGGAGCAACAGG